rnacentral:rRNA from 1 species
UAAAUAGUUCUAUAACAAAACAAUUCGCCAGAGAACUACUAGCAACAGCUUAAAACUCAAAGGACUUGGCGGUGCUUUAUAUCCCUCUAGAGGAGCCUGUUCUAUAAUCGAUAAACCCCGAUAAACCUCACCAUCCCUUGCUAAUACAGUCUAUAUACCGCCAUCUUCAGCAAACAAUUGGAGU